rnacentral:lncRNA from 1 species
GCUUAGGCUUUACGUAAGUGGAGGACGAGUGAAGAACGUAGACGUCCUAUACCGCUUGGGUUUGAUCCAUCUCUCCGACUUGGUGAUAACCCGCUCAAGCGCUUAGGCUUUACGUAAGUGGAGGAUGAGUGAAGAACGUAGACGUCCUAUACCGCUUGGGUUUGAUCCAUCUCUCCGACUUGGUGAUAACCCGUUCAAGCGCUUAGGCUUUACGUAAGUGGAGGACGAGUGAAGAACGUAGACGUCCUAUACCGCUUGGGUUUGAUCCAUCUCUCCUACUUGGUGAUAACCCGCUCAAGCGCUUAGGCUUUACGUAAAUGGAGGACGAGUGAAGAACGUAGAUGUCCUAUACCGCUUGGGUUUGAUCCAUCUCUCCGACUUGGUGAUAACCCGUUCAAGCGCUUAGGCUUUACGUAAGUGGAGGACGAGUGAAGAACGUAGACGUCCUAUACCGCUUGGGUUUGAUCCAUCUCUCCGACUUGGUGAUAACCCGCUCAAGCGCUUAGGCUUUACGUAAAUGGAGGACGAGUAAAGAACGUAGACGUCCUAUACCGCUUGGGUUUGAUCCAUCUCUCCGACUUGGUGAUAACCCAUUCAAGCGCUUAGGCUUUACGUAAGUGGAGGACAAGUGAAGAACGUAGACGUCCUAUACCGCUUGGGUUUGAUCCAUCUCUCCUACUUGGUGAUAACCCGCUCAAGCGCUUAGGCUUUACGUAAAUGGAGGACGAGUGAAGAACGUAGACGUCCUAUACCGCUUGGGUUUGAUCCAUCUCUCCGACUUGGUGAUAACCCGUUCAAGCGCUUAGGCUUUACGUAAGUGGAGGACGAGUGAAGAACGUAGACGUCCUAUACCGCUUGGGUUUGAUCCAUCUCUCUGACUUGGUGAUAACCCGCUCAAGCGCUUAGGCUUUACGUAUUGGAGGACGCCCAACUUGAUCGAGCACAGAUACUUUCCCAAAGAGACCUUUUUUUUUUUUUUUUUUUUAGUUUGCAGUUUUGGCUCAUGCAAGCGAGUGAGCAUUUGGUGCCUUGUGCAUUUUUGGCUCUUGCAGGCGAAUGAACACUUGGUGGAUCGUGCAGUUUCAGCUCGUGCAGGCAAAUGAGCAUUUGGUGCCUUGUGCAGUUUAGGCUCGUGCAGGCGAACGAAGGAGCAUUUGGUGCUUUGUGCAGUUUAGGCUCGUGCAG